rnacentral:rRNA from 1 species
AUUGAACGCUGGCGGCAUGCCUUACACAUGCAAGUCGAACGGUAACAGGUCUUCGGAUGCUGACGAGUGGCGAACGGGUGAGUAAUACAUCGGAACGUGCCCGAUCGUGGGGGAUACCGCAGCGAAAGCUUUGCUAAUACCGCAUAAGAUCUACGGAUGAAAGCAGGGGACCGCAAGGCCUUGCGCGAACGGAGCGGCCGAUGGCAGAUGAGGUAGUUGGUGGGAUAAAAGCUUACCAAGCCGACGAUCUGUAGCUGGUCUGAGAGGACGACUAGCCACACUGGGACUGAGACACGGCCCAGACUCCUACGGGAGGCAGCAGUGGGGAAUUUUGGACAAUGGGCGAAAGCCUGAUCCAGCCAUGCCGCGUGCAGGAUGAAGGCCUUCGGGUUGUAAACUGCUUUUGUACGGAACGAAAAGACUCUUUCUAAUAAAGAGGGUCCAUGACGAUACCGUAAGAAUAAGCACCGACUAACUACGUGCCAGCCGCCGCAGUAACAC